rnacentral:tRNA from 1 species
GCAGUGGUGGUUCAGGGGUAGAAUUCUUGCCUUCCAUGUGGGAGACCUGGGUUCGAUUACCGGCCAGUGCA